UCCCCGCUGGCUCUCAAGGAAGACAAGGCCCACAUACUUGAAAAGACAACUUCAUACAGGGAGGGAACACCCACUAAUCAAUCAAAGGAAUGAAAACUAUAGCUGACAGCUGUAUAGUGAUUUCUUGAAUGCCAUUUUAAGGGCAUUUCAUAUACUACAUUAAUGUCCACAACAACUCUAUUAGCUUGUCUACUGUCUUUCAGAUCACGACGUGCUCUUGUGAAAAUGGUCUGUCUAGCUUCAUUAGACAGGAGGGCCUGAAGACACCCUAGGAGACAGCAAACCAAGUCCCCGCAUCCAGAUGGACUGACCACAUGUCAGAAAAACAGGACCUUCGUCUACCCAGAUUAAAUCUCCAAGUGUUCACA